CAAAUUCACAAGGGUGUGCUUAUUGCUGCACGUUCACGAAUGGUCAGAGUGAGAGCAUUAGUUACGCGGAUUCGAAGAUAAGUGAGUUUUUAGUGUGUUUCGUCCACUACUCAAAAGACACGCCUAAUAUAAAUUGCAAUUGAACAGAAUAUAGAUCGUUUAGACUCUGGUUGAUGGGAGAUUGAUCUUGAAAAAGCCGAAUUCCGGAAACCAUGCACACUUACAGAUGACUACAUCAAUGAAUAUAUUCUUGUCCAAAGAAAUUAUUUUCGAAAUCAUUAGCUCGAACUCAUUAACAAACACAUCCUUGUGACUAGAAAUUGCAAACAUUCAAGAAACACUAAAAGUCUUCCAAGAUAAUGCCAACAGUAUCCAGAAUAGAAUGUUUUAUCGAGCCACUGUUUUACCUCAGAUCUGAUCACCACAGACAUCACCAAUUUGCUACAGGAAUUGUUAUGGUCGUGAUAAAUAACAUAUGCAAAUCUAACAAGCCAGACUUAGAACUGACUGUGAACAUUUAGCGGAUUUAUGAGUAUGUUUACAGAGAGUAAUAUGCCAGAUAUGAAUGUAUAAUUAUACUUCUUACUAGGAAUAAUCAAAUACCAAACUUGUCGCCUGUGGUGUUAGAUGUAGAAACAUGGAGCAUUACUAAUUUGUACACCCGUAAAUCUGGAUAAAAGUAACAAUGACUAAUGCAUUUAAUCAACAAAAUGGCAUACGACAUCUUCACCCAAUAUUAUGAAGGGUGAUAUGAGGUCAGCUGUUGCUGGAGCACUUGGUGUGAAACCAUGAAUUCUAAGAAUGGAAAUACCAAGAUAUAAAGGUCAUUCAAGGAAUGCAGAGAAAACUGGAAACUUUGAUGUGUUGUGUAAUUUACUUUUUCAUGAGUACUUGCAACCUCGUUAAUAGGUGUUUUGAAAAGGUAAUUCAUUAGUAAAAAGCACAACAUGUGUGGUUCUGUUGCAUUAUUAAGUUAUAUGGCUUUUCUACACGCUUCCAAAAUUAUUUUAAUCGAAGA